AGCGAACGCUGGCGGCAGGCCUAAUACAUGCAAGUCGAGCGCACCUCCGGGUGAGCGGCGGACGGGUGAGUAACGCGUGGGAAUAUGCCCUUUGGUACGGAACAACUGAGGGAAACUUCAGCUAAUACCGUAUGUCCCCUUCGGGGGAAAGAUUUAUCGCCAUUGGAGUAGCCCGCGUUGGAUUAGGUAGUUGGUGAGGUAAAGGCUCACCAAGCCUACGAUCCAUAGCUGGUCUGAGAGGAUGAUCAGCCACAUUGGGACUGAGACACGGCCCAAACUCCUACGGGAGGCAGCAGUAGGGAAUCUUGCGCAAUGGGCGAAAUCCUGACGCAGCCAUGCCGCGUGAAUGAUGAAGGUCUUAGGAUUGUAAAAUUCUUUCACCGGGGAAGAUAAUGACGGUACCCGGAGAAGAAGCCCCGGCUAACUUCGUGCCAGCAGCCGCGGUAAUACGAAGGGGGCUAGCGUUGCUCGGAAUUACUGGGCGUAAAGGGCGCGUAGGCGGAUAGUUUAGUCAGAGGUGAAAGCCCAGGGCUCAACCCUGGAAUUGCCUUUGAUACUGGCUAUCUUGAGUUCGGGAGAGGUGAGUGGAACUCCGAGUGUAGAGGUGAAAUUCGUAGAUAUUCGGAAGAACACCAGUGGCGAAGGCGACUCACUGGCCCGAUACUGACGCUGAGGCGCGAAAGCGUGGGGAGCAAACAGGAUUAGAUACCCUGGUAGUCCACGCUGUAAACGAUGAGUGCUAGUUGUCGGCAUGCAUGCAUGUCGGUGACGCAGCUAACGCAUUAAGCACUCCGCCUGGGGAGUACGGUCGCAAGAUUA
rnacentral:rRNA from 1 species